CUCAUUCCAAUUAGGGUCUUGUAUGCUAUUCGAUACGCCCAAAGUGCAUCAUUCAACCUUCGUGACCAAUCCUUCCUUGUAGGGCUGACGGUUUUCAUCAAGAUGUUCUUUAUUUCUUUAUUACUGAUUUCCACUGGUCCAAAGGUUUGAGGAUGGUAUGGAGUUGCCACUUUAUGUGUGAUGUUGUACUUCUUCAUCAAUGCCUCGAAAGGUUUGUUGCAGA
rnacentral:lncRNA from 1 species